rnacentral:rRNA from 1 species
UACGGAAUGUGCAAACGUUAUUCGGAAUCACUGGGCUUAAAGAGUCCGUAGGCGGCAUGUUAGGUGAGGUGUGAAAUCCCCCGGCUCAACCGAGGAAUUGCGCUUCAAACCGGCGUGCUUGAGGAAGAUAGAGGUGGGCGGAACUGAUGGUGGAGCGGUGAAAUGCGUUGAUAUCAUCAGGAACACCGGAGGCGAAGGCGGCCCACUGGGUCAAGAUUGACGCUCAUGCACGAAAGCGUGGGGAGCAAACAGG